rnacentral:rRNA from 1 species
GAUGAACGCUGGCGGCGUGCCUAAUACAUGCAAGUCGAGCGAACAGAUGAGGAGCUUGCUCCUCUGACGUUAUCGGCGGACGGGUGAGUAACACGUGGAUAACCUACCUAUAAGACUGGGAUAACUUCGGGAAACCGGAGCUAAUACCGGAUAAUAUAUUGAACCGCAUGGUUCAAUAGUGAAAGACGGUUUUGCUUUCACUUAUAGAUGGAUCCGCGCCGCAUUAGCUAGUUGUUAAGGUAACGGCUUACCAAGGCAACGAUGCGUAGCCGACCUGAGAGGGUGAUCGGCAACACUGGAACUGAGACACGGUCCAGACUCCUACGUGAGGCAGCAGUAGGGAAUCUUCCGCAAUGGGCGAUAGCCUGACGGAGCAACGCCGCGUGAGUGAUGAAGGUCUUCGGAUCGUAAAACUCUGUUAUUAGGGAAGAACAAAUGUGUAAGUAACUAUGCACGUCUUGACGGUACCUAAUCAGAAAGCCACGGCUAACUACGU